UGGGAGGCAGCAGUGGGGAAUCUUCCGCAAUGGACGAAAGUCUGACGGAGCAACGCCGCGUGGGUGAAGAAGGCCUUCGGGUUGUAAAACUCUGUCUUAUGGGAAGAAAAAAAUGACGGUACCAUAGGAGGAAGCCACGGCUAACUACGUGCCAGCAGCCGCGGUAAUACGUAGGUGGCAAGCGUUGUCCGGAAUCAUUGGGCGUAAAGGGCGCGUAGGCGGUUAUUUAAGUCAGUUGUGAAAACUUUGGGCUUAACCCAGAGAUUGCAGUUGAUACUGGGUAACUUGAGUGCAGGAGAGGACAGUGGAAUUCCUAGUGUAGCGGUGAAAUGCGUAGAUAUUAGGAGGAACACCAGUGGCGAAGGCGGCUGUCUGGACUGUAACUGACGCUGAGGCGCGAAAGCGUGGGGAGCAAACAGGCUUAGAUACCCCGGUAGA
rnacentral:rRNA from 1 species